rnacentral:rRNA from 1 species
AUUGAACGCUGGCGGCAUGCCUUACACAUGCAAGUCGAACGGUAACAGGUCUUCGGAUGCUGACGAGUGGCGAACGGGUGAGUAAUACAUCGGAACGUGCCCAGACGUGGGGGAUAACGAGGCGAAAGCUUUGCUAAUACCGCAUACGAUCUAAGGAUGAAAGCAGGGGACCGCAAGGCCUUGCGCGUUUGGAGCGGCCGAUGGCAGAUUAGGUAGUUGGUGGGAUAAAAGCUUACCAAGCCGACGAUCUGUAGCUGGUCUGAGAGGACGACCAGCCACACGGGGACUGAGACACGGCCCAGACCCCGAGGGGGGGCAGGAGUGGGGAAUUUUGGACAAGGGGCGAAAGCCUGACCCAGCAAUGCCGCGUGCAGGAUGAAGGCCUUCGGGUUGUAAACUGUUUUUGUACGGAACGAAAAGGCUCUGGCUAAAACCUGGGGCAAAGGACGGUACCGAAAGAAAAAGCCCCGGCUAACUACGU